rnacentral:rRNA from 1 species
AGAGUUUGAUCCUGGCUCAGAUUGAACGCUGGCGGCAUGCCUUACACAUGCAAGUCGAACGGCAGCACGGGGGCAACCUUGGUGGCGAGUGGCGAACGGGUGAGUAACAUAUCGGAACAUACCCUAGAGUGGGGGAUAACGUAGCGAAAGUUACGCUAAUACCGCAUACGAUCUAAGGAUGAAAGUGGGGGAUCUUCGGACCUCAUGCUCAUGGAGUGGCCGAUAUCUGAUUAGCUAGUUGGUGAGGUAAAGGCUCACCAAGGCGACGAUCAGUAGCUGGUUUGAGAGAACGACCAGCCACACUGGAACUGAGACACGGUCCAGACUCCUACGGGAGGCAGCAGUGGGGAAUUUUGGACAAUGGGGGCAACCCUGAUCCAGCAAUGCCGCGUGAGUGAAGAAGGCCUUCGGGUUGUAAAGCUCUUUUGUCAGGGAAGAAACGGUGAGUUCUAAUACAGCUUGCUAAUGACGGUACCUGAAGAAUAAGCACCGGCUAACUACGUGCCAGCAGCCGCGGUAAUACGUAGGGUGCAAGCGUUAAUCGGAAUUACUGGGCGUAAAGCGUGCGCAGGCGGUUAUAUAAGUCAGAUGUGAAAUCCCUGGGCUCAACCUAGGAACUGCAUUUGAGACUGUAUGGCUAGAGUGUGUCAGAGGGGGGUAGAAUUCCACGUGUAGCAGUGAAAUGCGUAGAGAUGUGGAGGAAUACCGAUGGCGAAAGCAGCCCCCUGGGAUAACACUGACGCUCAUGCACGAAAGCGUGGGGAGCAAACAGGAUUAGAUACCCUGGUAGUCCACGCCCU